rnacentral:rRNA from 1 species
CAGUCGCCACGGUAAAACGAAGGGUGCAAGCGUUACUCGGAAUUACUGGGCGUAAAGCGUGCGUAGGUGGUGGUUUAAGUCCGUUGUGAAAGCCCUGGGCUCAACCUGGGAAUUGCAGUGGAUACUGGGUCACUAGAGUGUGGUAGAGGAUAGUGGAAUUUCCGGUGUAGCAGUGAAAUGCGUAGAGAUGGAAGGAACAUCUGUGGCGAAGGCGACUAUCUGGGCCAACACUGACACUGAGGCACGAAAGCGUGGGGAGCAAACAGGAUUAGAUACCCCCGUAGUCCCUGUCUCUUAUACA